rnacentral:tRNA from 1 species
UACAAAUAGUAUAGGAAAUAUAUUAGAUUUAGAGUCUGAAGAGGGGUUUUGUAUU